UCCAUUAUGGCAGAAGUUAGUGCAAUGAAUUUAAGAUUCAUAUAUAAAUAUACAAUUUUAUUGGAA
rnacentral:tRNA from 1 species